ACUCAAAGGAAUUGACGGGGGCCCGCACAAGCAGUGGAGCAUGUGGUUUAAUUCGAUGCAACGCGAAGAACCUUACCCAGGCUCGAAAUGUAGUGGACAGUACCAGAAACGGUAUCUUCCGUAAGGACUGCUAUAUAGGUGCUGCAUGGCUGUCGUCAGCUCGUGCCGUGAGGUGUUGGGUUAAGUCCCGCAACGAGCGCAACCCUUGUCAUUAGUUGCCAACACUUAAGGUGGGGACUCUAAUGAGACUGCCUAGGUUAACUAGGAGGAAGGCGAGGAUGACGUCAAGUCCGCAUGGCCUUUAUGUCUGGGGCAACACACGUGCUACAAUGGAUGGUACAGAAGGCAGCAAAGCCGCAAGGUGGAGCAAAUCCGUAAAACCAUUCUCAGUUCGGAUUGUAGUCUGCAACUCGACUACAUGAAGUUGGAAUUGCUAGUAAUGACGCGUCAGCUACAGCGUCGUGAAUACGUUCCCGGGCCUUGUACACACCGCCCGU
rnacentral:rRNA from 1 species